CUAGAACUUUACAGAACAAUCCGUUGUGGAUCAACACGGAGGCAUUCCUCUCACACACAGGAGAACAGACACAGAUAGUGGGAUUAGUGAUCCACAGUGGAGACUCAUCUUUAAGAAAGUCUUAUUAGAGGUCUGGGGGUAGUCCUGAACUGGCCAACAGGCAUAGGCUACAAAGCAACUGACUCAGUUCACGAAAUUCCAUGGUAUCUUGGUAUGAGGUGAUGCCUGUCUGGAAAAGAAGCAGCUCGCUGUGAAAGCAGGUAACACCACUUAUAUACCAUUUCUAUGGUUCUGCAGCAUGCUACGGACUUGUUGGUAUCUGAUCAUUCAGAAGCAAAUUUAAAAUGUAUUACUUUGGAUCUUAACAAGCACUUAAUAUAGGUAAUUAUUUCUGCUGUUUUCAGAAGGUAACUAUGGGUCCUGUAGCAGUGCUUUCCCCAGUUACUAAUAUGAUCACGAUAAAGUUGAUUACAGAGACAUCUGCCCUUUCAUUUUGAACUCCCGUUUCAUAUCUGUUUUGUUAAAUACAGCCUUGGAUUACAUGGAAAAGUAAUUAUCAAAAGCGUCACAGGCAUGCUAAAAAUAAUUUCCCAGCACAGUAGAGGUGGGUAGGCAGGUUAAUUUGCCUUUUCAGGAUAUCUCCUGCUUUCCUGGGGCUUUUUCAUCUCGAGUGCAUUGCUAUAUCAUUUGAAAUGAAUGUUUCCUUCUCUUCCAUUUUAGGUUUUGCCUGAAAAAUUCUGUCACAUUCACAUUUAUUAUAAAGAUGGACAUAAAGCUUUGUACAUUUUUAAUGAGCUCUCCCUAUAAAUUCAGCUGGUUAAAAAGUAGUAUGAGGAAAACCUGAACAUGUCAGUCUGAGUUUGGCUGAAGCCAAAAGUAUCAGUGCCCUUAGAAUGACAGAAGUUUCACCCUCAGAGUGUCAGCUUAGCUGAACUGUAAAUGAUUCACACAUCUGUAGUGGUUCCUAUUCACACUCUGCAAUGCUACCAGAUGAAAUGAAGCAUUUGUUUUACUCUUUUCCAAUACAAAUACUCACCACUGACUUCAUGGUGCAUGCUAGAUAAGCUUACCACAUUUCUGCACUGAAACAAAUUAACUGAUUGAAAGGUAUUGGGAAAACUUCAGCUCAAUUCUCAAAACUGUCCAGUAAAAAAAUCUCAAAUGUUAGGAUUUCCUUAAAACACUGGGUCUUGAACUGAAUCCAAAAGGACGCCACCGCUGAGCCACUGUCUUCAGUAUAGCUUCUUUCAAAAUCCCCAAUUGCCAGCAUGGUUACCUGAACGCGAUAUUUUCCCCUCUCUGUAUGGUUCCUUUAAUCCGAUGUGAACCAUCUGAAAUGCUACAGUUUUUGACUCAAGACCUCUAGCAUUGAGGUACCUAUAAUAAUGAUGUGAAGUCUUCUGCAGGAAAGUCUUCCGAAUAACCACAAAUUUACUUUCGUAUUUACAAGUAAAACGAAACCUGUCACAAAGCUUAUGACACCACUGACCUCAAACACUUGUAUUUUAGUAAACGCAUGCCACACUGGCACAUUCAGCUCUGUCUCUCAUAAUAUGCUUUGUACAUGUAAAGCACACAAUUGUGUAUGAGGUUGCUAGGUAUUUUGGAAAUGUCAUUCUUGGUGACUCCUUUAGUUAACAUUAACAGUUGAGGUGUCUUUAAUAUCAUUACUGUAGUUACAGCUUUCUAUGUCGUGAAACAAAAUUCUUCACAGAAGCCAAAGAUACAUGUUUAUCUGAGAGGAGAUCAGAAAACAAAGGCUAUAUCUCUCUCGGGUCCACUCAACCACCGUACCAGAGAUAAAGCAAUAGUUUAAGGUAUUUCCUACUGCAAGUUUUGAGCAUUCAGUUAAACAGAAAUCACUAGUUCAGCUAUCUAUAUAUGAUCUGGCAUUAUUUAUGAACAGACCUGUCUCAGAAGAGCCUCAAUGUCUGCUUACCAGACCUCAAUAGCAACUUGAUGCCACUAGAAAACACUGCAAGUUAUACAGUGGACUCACAGACAGACACAGCUGUGAUUUUCUGAAUCCAAUUACACAGAGGAUAAAUGCAAAAUGUUAACACGCACUUCAUAUCUGUCAUUUACAAGUACCAGACCUAAGCCAUAGCCUAUAUCUGCACCAACAUUUGGCUAAGGCACGUGUGAUGUAGAGUUGGUGUAACGUGUUAGGAAGGACAGCAAUAAUAGCAGAAUGGCAAAGUCUUUGGCUGCAGCAAAUGAGGACAAGCCCAAACG